CCCUGGGACAGCUCAGUCUGUAGAGCCUGAGACUCUGAAUCUCACGGUUGUGGGUUCGAGCCUCACAAUGGGGG